CCAGGAACAGAAGGAAAACCAGGUGUACCUGGUCCAGCUGGACAACCAGGGCCUGCUGGAGAACCUGGUUUACCUGGCAAGGGUAAAGAUGGAGAACAGGGAGAAAGAGGCCCACCAGGCUUGCCAGGACCCUUUGGGCAUAAGGGUGAGAGAGGAGCUCCUGGCCUCCCUGGGCAGCCAGGAGAUAGAGGUGUGCCAGGAAUUGGGCUGGCUGGACCCCCUGGCCCUGUAGGACCCCCAGGAGACAAAGGAUCAUUGGGUCCUCGUGGUGUACCUGGUAUUCCUGGGCCACAAGG